rnacentral:rRNA from 1 species
GUUGUUCGGAAUUACUGGGCGUAAAGCGCACGUAGGCGGACUGGAAAGUUGGGGGUGAAAUCCCGGGGCUCAACCUCGGAACUGCCUCCAAAACUAUCAGUCUAGAGUUCGAGAGAGGUGAGUGGAAUUCCAAGUGUAGAGGUGAAAUUCGUAGAUAUUUGGAGGAACACCAGUGGCGAAGGCGGCUCACUGGCUCGAUACUGACGCUGAGGUGCGAAAGUGUGGGGAGCAAACAGGAUUAGAUACCCUGGUAGUCCACGCCGUAAACGAUGUCAACUAGCCGUUGGGACACUUGAUGUCUUAGUGGCGCAGCUAACGCGAUAAGUUGACCGCCUGGGGAGUACGGUCGCAAGAUUAAAACUCAAAUGAAUUGACGGGGGCCCGCACAAGCGGUGGAGCAUGUGGUUUAAUUCGAAGCAACGCGAAGAACCUUACCUACACUUGACAUCCAGAGAACUUUCUAGAGAUAGAUUGGUGCCUUCGGGAACUCUGAGACAGGUGCUGCAUGGCU